rnacentral:rRNA from 1 species
AGAGUUUGAUCCUGGCUCAGGAUGAACGCUAGCGGCAGGCCUAACACAUGCAAGUCGAGGGGUAUAUGGUGCUUGCACCAUAGAGACCGGCGCACGGGUGCGUAACGCGUAUGCAAUCUGCCUUGUACAGGGGAAUAGCCCAGGGAAACUUGGAUUAAUGCCCCAUAGUAUUAUUUUGUAGCAUUACAUUAUAAUUAAAGAUUUAUCGGUACAAGAUGAGCAUGCGUCCCAUUAGUUAGUUGGUAAGGUAACGGCUUACCAAGACAGCGAUGGGUAGGGGCCCUGAGAGGGGGAUCCCCCACACUGGUACUGAGACACGGACCAGACUCCUACGGGAGGCAGCAGUGAGGAAUAUUGGACAAUGGGCGGAAGCCUGAUCCAGCCAUGCCGCGUGCAGGAAGACGGCCCUAUGGGUUGUAAACUGCUUUUGUACGGGAAGAAACACCCCCACGUGUGGGGACUUGACGGUACCGUAAGAAUAAGCAUCGGCUAACUCCGUGCCAGCAGCCGCGGUAAUACGGAGGAUCCAAGCGUUAUCCGGAAUCAUUGGGUUUAAAGGGUCCGUAGGCGGCCUUAUAAGUCAGUGGUGAAAUCUCCUAGCUCAACUAGGAAACUGCCAUUGAUACUGUAGGGCUUGAAUGUUUGUGAAGUAACUAGAAUAUGUAGUGUAGCGGUGAAAUGCUUAGAUAUUACAUGGAAUACCAAUUGCGAAGGCAGGUUACUAACAGAUUAUUGACGCUGAUGGACGAAAGCGUGGGGAGCGAACAGGAUUAGAUACCCUGGGUAGUCCACGCCGUAAACGAUGGAUACUAGCUGUUCGGUGCAAACUGAGUGGCUAAGCGAAAGUGAUAAGUAUCCCACCUGGGGAGUACGCACGCAAGUGUGAAACUCAAAGGAAAUUGACGG